rnacentral:rRNA from 1 species
AUUGAACGCUGGCGGCAGGCCUAACACAUGCAAGUCGAACGAGUGGCGGACGGGUGAGUAAUGUCUGGGAAACUGCCUGAUGGCGGGGGAUAACUACUGGAAACGGUAGCUAAUACCGCAUACCAUCAGAUGUGCCCAGAUGGGAUUAGCUUGGUGGUGGGGUAACGGCUCACCGAGGCGACGAUCACUAGCUGGUCUGAGAGGAGGACCAGCCACACGUGAACUGGGACACGGUCCAGACUCCGACGGGAGGCAGCAGUGGGGAAUAUUGCACAAUGGGCGCAAGCCGGAUGCAGCCAUGCCGCGUGUGUGAAGAAGGUCUUCGGAUUGUAAAGCACUUUAAGUUGGGAGGCGUUACCAACAGAAUAAGCACCGGCUAACUACGUGCCAGCAGCCGCGGUAAUUC